AGGCUGGGAAGAAAUCCCGAGCCACCUGUGACAUCAAGAUCAAGAUCAUCCCUCCAAACUCCAAUAGCUUUUAGAGUGCCGUUACAAAGGCAAAACUCCCGACCGAUUACUACUUUUAGUCACUCAUUACUUUGCAUAUUUUCGUGACCUGCUGAGCUUGCAUACGACUGCCACGCCGUCUGAAGAAUUACGAAGCAUUUAACUAUCUGGCAGGUGGCAUGGCACUCCUGGGGCCAGCGAGGAGGGCCGUGAGGCUGGCACUGGCCCCCUCAUGGUCCGUGGUGCGGGCGGUGUGCCAGGCCAGGGCGGUGGGGUGGCACGGCCCUCCCUCGGCCCCUUCACUCCCUGCUGGCACUGUAUCCCGGGCAGCCUCAAGCUGGCACCCCGCAGCCCCACUCCUCCAGCCCUGCACAGCCAUCCUUAUCCCGGCCCGGAAUUAUGCCAAGUCCAAGGACAAGAAGGGCAAAGGGAAGGCAGCCAAGGCCCAUGUGUCAGAGGAGGAGAUGGAGGAGGUGCUGAACGUGGAGCAGAUGAUGAGCCACUUCGCCACCAUUGUGGAGAGCCUCAAGCAAGACUACAUCAAGAAUCUCUCCCUCAGAUCGUCUGCUGGUAGCAUUGAAACCUUACCUGUUCAGCUUGAGGGCGACGAGUACCCGCUUAACGAAGUGGCCCAGGUGUCGCGCAAGUCCCCGCAGGUGGUGGUGAUCAGCGCGGCGGCCUUCCCCCAAGCCUUGCCAGGCAUCGUGGCGGCUCUGCGCGGUGCUGGCAUGAACCUCAACCCACAGCAGGAGGGGACCAGCGUAAUUGUGCCCAUACCAAAAGUGACGAAGGAGCACCGCGAGAGCCUGGCUAAGGGCGCCAAGACCAUGUUCAACAAGGCCAAGGACCAGCUGAGGGAGGCGCAGAACCAGUACAUCCGCAAGGCAAGGAACAAGGAGGGGAAGUUUUCGGACGACCUCCUCUUCAAUGUGCAGCUCAGGAUCAGGGAGAUAGCAGAAGCCCACAUGCAGGAAGCUGAGAGCAUGAUGCAGGCCAAGCAGAAGGAGCUACUGAGGACCAGCUAGGACGACCGGACCCACAGUGCGCUGCGGUGACACACUGAUGGUUGGCUUGGACAGGCAGCUCACCACCGAGAUGACAGCUUGGCAGGGCAGAGCUGGAGCUGUGAUGCAGUGUUGAGGACUUGUAGCUUACUCACCCUUGGGAGGCGCAGGAACACACACACCCACCAAGGUCUGGGGCGCCUUGCUGAUGCCACACAUACAGAGGAUAAUGACAC